rnacentral:rRNA from 1 species
UACGGGGGGAGCAAGCGUUGUUCGGAUUCAUUGGGCGGAAAGGGUGCGUAGGUGGCGCGGAAAGUCGGGUGUGAAAUUUCGGAGCUUAACUCCGAAACUGCAUUCGAUACUGCCGUGCUUGAGGACUGGAGAGGAGACUGGAAUUUACGGUGUAGCAGUGAAAUGCGUAGAGAUCGUAAGGAAGACCAGUGGCGAAGGCGGGUCUCUGGACAGUUCCUGACACUGAGGCACGAAGGCCAGGGGAGCAAACGGG